UCCUCGGUAGCUCAAUGGUAGAGCACCCGGCUGUUAACCGGGUGGUUGUUGGUUCGAAUCCAACCCGGGGAGCCA
rnacentral:tRNA from 1 species